rnacentral:rRNA from 1 species
AUGGAAGCAGUGGAGUGGCAGUCACAUUCGGCCACGCUUUUCACCUUUGCUGCUGCAUUAUUACAACCAGAUCAGGUCCAUCCUGAUGGAUGGAUGGAUGUCCACCGGAUAAUUGGUAAGCGCGUCCAGAUCAGACCAGGUGCUCUUACCUCGUUUCGCCGCCAGCAUCAUCGAGAGGCUAAGUUUGCCGUUCAUCACAAUGAGAGACAAGUUGGCAAGCCUAAGGAGAUUUUGCCACACUUUCUGUUUGUAUGUCAUGUGGGGCCUAAUGUGGCUUGCCUAAGAUGUGGCUUGGACCAAACACUCAUCUAA